GCAGCAUGAACUUAGCUUGCUAAGUUUGAUGGCGACCGGCGCACGGGUGAGUAACACGUAUCCAACCUGCCGAUGACUCGGGGAUAGCCUUUCGAAAGAAAGAUUAAUACCCGAUGGCAUAGUUCUUCCGCAUGGUAGAACUAUUAAAGAAUUUCGGUCAUCGAUGGGGAUGCGUUCCAUUAGGUUGUUGGCGGGGUAACGGCCCACCAAGCCUUCGAUGGAUAGGGGUUCUGAGAGGAAGGUCCCCCACAUUGGAACUGAGACACGGUCCAAACUCCUACGGGAGGCAGCAGUGAGGAAUAUUGGUCAAUGGACGAGAGUCUGAACCAGCCAAGUAGCGUGAAGGAUGACUGCCCUAUGGGUUGUAAACUUCUUUUAUACGGGAAUAAAGUGAGGCACGCGUGCCUUUUUGUAUGUACCGUAUGAAUAAGGAUCGGCUAACUCCGUGCCAGCAGCCGCGGUAAUACGGAGGAUCCGAGCGUUAUCCGGAUUUAUUGGGUUUAAAGGGAGCGUAGGCGGACGCUUAAGUCAGUUGUGAAAGUUUGCGGCUCAACCGUAAAGUUGCAGUUGAUACUGGGUGUCUUGAGUACAGUAGAGGCAGGCGGAAUUCGUGGUGUAGCGGUGAAAUGCUUAGAUAUCACGAAGAACUCCGAUUGCGAAGGCAGCCUGCUGGACUGUAACUGACGCUGAUGCUCGAAAGUGUGGGUAUCAAACAGGAUUAGAUACCCUGGUAGUCCACACAGUAAACGAUGAAUACUCGCUGUUUGCGAUAUACAGUAAGCGGCCAAGCGAAAGCGUUAAGUAUUCCACCUGGGGAGUACGCCGGCAACGGUGAAACUCAAAGGAAUUGAC
rnacentral:rRNA from 1 species